rnacentral:tRNA from 1 species
GCAUCCGUAGCUCAAUUGGAUAGAGCAUCUGACUACGAAUCAGAAGGUUCAAGGUUCGAUUCCUUGCGGAUGCACCA